rnacentral:lncRNA from 1 species
UUUGCAUGUUUCUUGUAUUUCUGUGUUGACAUUUGCACUCCUGUUGGGCUGGAUAUCGCCUCCACUUUUUUUUUUCUUUUUUUUUUUUUACUAGGGAUCAAACCCGGGCCCUUGUGUUUGCGAGGCAGGCGGCGGCACCACUGAGCUAAAUCCCCGGCCCUUGGCUCCACUUUUAUGUGAAGGCGGAAGACCCAGCUGCCAGGCCCUGGCCAUGUCCGCCGUGCCCAGCCAUCUGACGUAGUGGAUCCUGGGUGAGAGGAACCCGGCCCCCAGUGGGCACCCAAGCAGAGCAAG